ACAAGCGCGCCCAAUGGUUAGCUCAGGCAGGUCAGAAAUCUGCCGGUGAAUGUAAUGGUAAAAGCUAGCUUGACGCCGUUUCGGCCAACAAGAAACGGCGAUACGAAAGUAGGGCAUAACGAACCAAUCAGCCUUCUGAAUGGGGGCGAUUGAUGACAGAAAAGUUACCCUGGGGAUAACUGAGUCGUCGCCAGCAAGAGUUCAUAUCGACCUGGCGGCUUGCUACUUCGCUGUCGGCUCUCCCUAUCCUGGCGGUGCAGCAGCUGCCAAGGGUGGGGUUGUUCGCCCAUUAAAAGGGAUCGUGAGCUGGGUUUAGACCGUCGUGAGACAGGUUUGUUGCUUUUUGGUGGAAGUGUUUUGAUGCCUGACGGGAAGGACCCUUUAGUACGAGAGGAACGGGGGUCCGGGGCCUCUAGUCCAUCAGUUGUCUGACAAGGCACUGCUGAGCAGCCACGCCCUAGUGGAUAAGAGCUGAAAGCAUCUAAGCUCGAAGCUACCCUGGAAAAGAGGCAUCUUAGAACGCUCAUAGAUGAUGAGCUUGAUAGGAUCGGGAUGUAAGUAUCGAGGUUCUCCGAGGUAUUCAGUCCGCGAUUACUAAUGUUCGUUCUCGCCGAAAC
rnacentral:rRNA from 1 species